AGCAAGAAAACUGAGAUGGGUCUAAAUAUGAAUUCCGUUGUUUGGUUGUUCGAUGAAUUCCAAAUCAUGUCUGGAUGAUAAAAUUUGGAAUUGCAUUGAUCUAAACAAAAAACUUCCCCCCUUUCCGUUUCUAUAAUCAUCUCUCUCGACAGACUUGGCUGACUGAUAGAAGACGGACAGUGACUGUAGGAGAGGUGCUGGUCCAACUUUGCUUGUGUCGACCAGCCGAUUCAAUAAUUUCUCCAGUUGUUACUAGUCCAUGUAAAACAGCCACUGGAUACACCUGUCUGCACUCUGCAGCACUGAACAUCUUCACCGAAUGCAAUGCUCUCGAGCCACCAAGAAGAGCCCAGCACUCCUUCACUC
rnacentral:lncRNA from 1 species